UGCAGCUCUUCAAAUGUCUGUCCAGGAUGCAGAAAUGCCUGGUCAAUCUGAUAUGAGCAAAGUGUUUGAAGACAGAUCAUUUGUGACAUCCAUCCUUAAUUCGCUUCCUGGUGUUGACCCCAACGAUCCAUCCGUGAAAGAUCUGCUGGCAUCAUUGCAUGGCCAAGCAGAGCAAGAGGAGAAUAAAGAUAAGUCGGACAAGGCUGACAAGCCUGAAGAUGGAAAGAACUAAACUCCCUUCGUAGCUUUGAUGUGCAUGAAGAAUUGAGGGUUGCAUGCAUUGGCUGCUUUUACACUUGGCUAUGAAUUUACUUAUCCUCUUGUAACCGUGUUGACGAUAACUUAAAUGCUGAGAGAAUUUGUAUUAUGCCUGCCCACCCAAACUCCCAUGUAUGUUUAAGUGAUUCAAUGUUGCAAAUUCUUUUUGUAGACAAUGUUGUGGUCAACAUUUUUUGCUGCAGCAGUGAUCUUUCGUUAAAGCCAGGUGUUGUUCGAUA